GGGGAAUUGUUCACAAUGGGCGCAAGCCUGAUGACGCAACGCCGCGUGGGGGAUGAAGGUCUUCGGAUUGUAAACCCCUGUCGAACGGGACGAAAGACCCGGGAGCUAAUCAUCAUGGGAGUGACGGUACCGUUAAAGGAAGCCACGGCCAACUCCGUGCCAGCAGCCGCGGUAAUACGUAGGCAGCGAGCGUUGUUCGGAGUUACUGGGCGUAAAGAGUGCGUAGGCGGUUUUCUAAGUUUGGUGUGAAAUCUCCCGGCUUAACUGGGAGGGUGCGCCGAAAACUGGAAGGCUUGAGUAUGGGAGAGGUAAGCGGAAUUCCUGGUGUAGCGGUGAAAUGCGUAGAUAUCAGGAGGAACACCUGCGGUGUAGACGGCUUACUGGACCAUAACUGACGCUGAGGCACGAAAGCGUGGGUAGCAAAC
rnacentral:rRNA from 1 species